CAUUGAUCACUCUGCAAACUACAAAAUGUCGCAUCGCGGUUGGCCUGUCGGCAGAUUUAGGGUUUUAUCGGCAGCUGCAGCAACUCCAGCUAUGAUGAAAAGGGCAGAGUCCAGAGCCCUGGAUGAAGGUCUGUAAUGCAAGACACCGUUUACGGUUACGCCCAGAUUUGAAAAGAUCGGAACCACUAUUGAGACAGAUGGAUAUAAAGGAUGUGAAGAAAGGAGAGAACACCAUCACCAGAACACCAGGAAUGACACUGACCCAACUAUUCAUGUUUUAGUCACGUCUUCGGAGAGACCUAAAAUUUUUCUGUUGGCUCGUUGUGCAUCUUGCCGGGACACUCGACCUCAACCCUGAAACCGACUAUCUCACUGCUCUCAGUGGGGAGAAAUUCAAGCUGGAACAUCCAUCUAGUAAUAAGCUCCCCUCCAGAGACGUAGACCUGGGACAGAACACCCACCAACACUGUCCUGCAGACAGCAGCUCAGUCAAGGUGGAUGUAUACCCGGACAGUAUCCGUCUGCAGCUGCUGGAGCCCAGUGGAGCAGGGAUAUGCAGAUCCUCAUUAAGGUGAUUAGAAAAUGGAGAUGCCAUCUGUAGCUAGCUGACAGCUUCUGUUGACAUACCUGUGUGCACAAAAAGACAGAAGGUCACCAAAGCUGUUCACGGUUCCUUUAUGUCAUGCUUUCUUGCUUUAACAAGACUGUUGCUAAGAUAUUAUUUUAUGCAAACUAGUUAGCUAUUUGGAAAACGAAUUCCAAACUGUGUAAAUCUUUAUCAUCUUCACAAGCUGUGUACGGUUCCUCCGUGUUGUUGUCUGUCGUUUUAUGAGCGCAUGCAGGGCCUGGAGUUAAUGAUCCUUCCUCUCAAUGUUUGUGCUUCACCCCAAGUGUAAUGUAGUGUGCAAAUUGUGGUUGUUAAGGGGCAGAUGGCCCAAAUUUCCAUUUGUUUAUAAUUGUCUUCAUUUGUCUGGGGAGCCAUUGGUUUGGGUGAUGGAUUAGCUGUGCAGAAAUGCAGACAUUUUUGCCAGUCGGGAGCCUGGAUGGGGAAGCACUUGGAGAUUUCUUUCAUUUCCUCCGCUGUUAUGAGGGCAAUAAAGUAGAAAUACUUGUUGGUCGCAGCCAGAGCUGCACCUGUUUAAAUGUGUUGUGUCACUCAGAAGCGUUUAAUUGGUUUGGACGUGUCAGAAGGAUCAGAAGGAUGCUGGCACUGUCAAGAUUCAUGUCAUGUUCAUUGGCGGUUUAUCCACUUUUUUAAAACAGAUUAUAGUUUCUGAUUCGUACUCCAACACGGUUAGACUAACAGAGAAUUAUGUUUCGUGCUUUUUCCUCUGAGGAGAACAGCAUUUUGAUGAUGUGUGGGUUUAUUGCUGCAUCUUUUUCUCAUUUACUUAGCCUGUUCUUGUCAUAUUUCUUAUCAUGUGUAGCUUAGGAAUGGGCAGUUUUGGUUUUGCAGAACAUUCUGCUUAAUAUUCUAGGGUUCAACCUUUUUAGCUAUGUAGACCAGACAUGUGACACGUGUUCAAGAACGUACCAAACGUGGGUUCUUGAAUGGGCAUCCAGCCCUUGGUAAUCACACUGAGCAAGCAGGGAGGGGCUUCUUCUUCUUCUUCUCUUUCUUUAUUUACUCUUCCCAUGUCUGCUACCUACAGUUGCAAGAUGAGAAAUAUGAAAGCGGUACAAACCUCGUGAAUCUUGCUCCGGCCUUUUUCUUUCACAGCUCGAUUACGAUAUAGAGCUGGGAAAGAUAUAAUCCAGUUGGUCACAAACCAAUAUUUUUUAUUUCUCCUCCAUAAUUAAUAUUUAAACGGUUGGCACAUCCAUGUAUUGAAAGGGAUGCUACCCAUGUGUCACUACCCAAAUGUUGUCAGUCCCUGUUUGGUCAAAAUUUAACUUAUUUUAACUCUUAACGUCUGUUCAAUGGCAGCGCGUUUAGUACAUCGAGCCUGAGGACGGUCGUAAAAACUUGCGCAGUUUUGAACUCGGAAGCCCGAAACAAAUACAAAUACUUCAUUUUUUUCUGAGGUUUUUGGGAAAUUUGAAAAAACUUCUCAGUUCCUAUUUUUCAGAGCAAGCAACAGUGACUGGUGAUGAUCCCUCCCACAGCGUAAAGGACUUAGAAGACUGACAGAAAAACAACAGGCUGAUGGGUGGAGCGAUUUUUCUGCAGCAGUGCUUCCCUGCUUCAGAUGUUUAUGUUUAUGUUUAACGUACUUAUGCACUUUAUAACCUUAAUCCUCCUCUUGCUAAAAAGGCUACCCAGCAACAAAGUGCCUUCAUUUAGAGUCUUCUUUAGAUCUGCUGUAACACUGACCUCUACAGGAGAACUUUCCUCCCUACUGCUGCUAUCACCUCCAAUGCAGAAUGAGUUGCAGUAGCUUUUAUUUAUUUAUUAUUUUUAAAUUUAUUGAAGUAUUUUUUGAAAUUGAGUUAAUAAUCACUUAGAAAGAAGCCCACUUAAAAAAAAUCUUAUAGAAUUAUAACAGUUUAGUGUUUUGGUUCUGAAUUUUUGUUUCUGGUGCAGUUACUAGAUUCAGGCUUGACCUCUCAAAGACUCUGGAAUAACUGAGGCUGCUCACUCUGAGGUCAAGGGAAAGUGCACCACUGACCACAUCAGCGCCACCAGACCCUGACUGAAGUGGGGAGGGAUCCAACCGGGAGCACCGGGAGCACGCCGCCUUGGAGCUGCAGCACUUGGGAGGACGAGCCGUCAUCGUCAAAAGCUUUGCCAGCAUCCAUGAGACAAAUUGGAAGCAGCAGAGUCUGCUGCCUCUGGCUUUCACUGACCCAAGAGACUAAGAAAAAAUUCCCCCUGAAGACAAGAUCCAAACCUUCGGCCUGACAUCACUUGCUCCUGGCGAGCUGCUGGAGUGAUCAGGGACAACGAUGGACGACAGGAGUCUGUCUCCCUGAACCACGCCUUCAGCGAGACCCAGAUCGAGUGGUUUAAGGCCGGCUCGCCCUCUAACAGGAUGAAGGAGCUUUACUGAUGAUGAGGAAGGCAGCAGGGCUGGUAUAUGAGCUCAGAAGUUGAUAAAUAUAGAACUACAGCUGAGAGAGGCUGUAGCCGAGCACACACACACAUUUUUACUGUUGCGGCACAGAUAAAGGCGAGCACACACAGACUUUUGAGCACUUCAAUGCAAAGACAGGGUUACUGUGUAAACCUUUACUGUCCACAUGCAGAACUGCACAAACAUCUGUCAACGUCAUUUUCUGGUCCAAAUAUAGUGUUUUCCUGCUGCUGUGACACACAUAUGUCACUGCUGUCCAUCUAACCCCUUGACACCUGAAUUUAUUUCCAGCUAUGAAAAAAAACAUUCACUCAUGCUUUUGAUUUUAAGUAGAUCUUAAAUUAAGGUCAUUUUGGCACAGACGUGUUUUGAUGCAUAUCUACAUCAAUAGAUGUGAAGGGGUUAAACUACUGUGGUAGAAUUUUCUCAUUAAACCAAUUUAGACUCUGAUUUGAUUAUUCACAGGCAGAAAUUAGUUUUAAAAAGCUGCUGAAUUGAAGUUUAAAAUCCACAAAAAAUCUUUUAGUGUCCUUUGUUUGGUUUUAUAAAAUACAAUUUAACCUUCGUUAAUCUUCUCUUAUGAAUCAUACUCAUCUGUCAAGUCUUUGUCUGUGAUUCGUUGUGAGUGCAUACUCAGGACAACAAAACAAUCCAGAAACAAUGCAGUGUUUUUCCUAGAUGAUUGCUUCCAGCAGAUCUCAAAGAAGUGUGGACGCAUAGUUGGUGUUUCACGUGCAGCAAACAGCAGGCAGAGUGCUGAGUCUGAAGAGGAUUUCUGAUGUGAGAAUUAAGAAGGGAGAGAUUCAGGUUCACCCCAGAGGACUUUCUUGGAAUUUCACCAAUGUUAUAUUGUACAUUUUAAUUUGAUUGUUUUUUAGACUAUUUUCCUGAAUGAUUCAAAAAGCAAAAAGAAAGAUGCAGGCUUAUUUUAUCCCUGUGAAAGUGACAGAAACUGCUGAUUUGAUAGUUUAUUGGCAGCUGGAUUAAAUAUAGAGGCAUCAUCAGGGACAUGUACAUGAUCAUAUGCUGAUUCUCCAAACUUCAUUGUUACUGCUGUCACGUAAAGAUUAAUUAAAAAAAUGUAAAAUAUUCCUUUUUAAAGUUUUAUUUUUGUGUAAUUUACUCUCAAGCAAGUCACAUGGUCUCUCCAGCUGUAACAUAGACACGUCCUUGUUUUUUUGUUCUGCAGGAACGGCUCCGUUCUGUUUGAUCAGUGUGAGCGCUCCUGUUUUCUUUCAGGACUCGACAUAUCUAUCUCUGGUCACUCCCUGCAGGCGUUCACAUGAUCACAGUCGUGUGAAUCACUACUGCGUGAUUUAUGUGCAGUAGCCGCAAGAUGUUGAGAUAAAAAAAAAAAAAACAGCACUGUAUCAAGGAUAUUCAAUUAAAAAAAAUCCUUUGCACUGCAAGAAAAAUGCAGAUGUGUUUCAUUCUUCAAUAUUCUGUUGUGCUUUUGGGCCACUUUGUUUAUCCUCAACAAACGAAAUGCAAUCUUGUGGAAAUGAUUAUCACUGAAGAUUGCAGCUUUAAUUCCAGCCUUGCUCGCCCUAAUGUUGAAGUGUCUUUGGGCAAGACACUGAACCCCACCUUGCCACUGAUGGAAUGUUGGCAACAGUGUUCAGCAGCGGAGCCACAACCAGUGUGUGAAUGUGUGUGUGUGAAUGGGACUGUGCCUGUAAAGCUCUUUGGACCUUCAAGGAAGGUAGAAAAGCGUGUUACAAGUAUAUGGUAAUUACCAUUUACUGAUGUGUUUUUAUGAGACUAAUAUGUUUGAUUAAAUUCAUGUUUGUAAUGGC